rnacentral:rRNA from 1 species
GACGAACGCUGGCGGCGCGCCUAAUACAUGCAAGUCGAGCGAGAAGACGUAGCAAUACGUUUGUAAAGCGGCGAACGGGUGAGGAAUACAUGGGCAACCUACCCUCGAGUGGGGAAUAACUAGCCGAAAGGUUAGCUAAUACCGCGUACGCUCCUUGGACUUCGGUUCAGGGAGGAAAGCGAUACCGUGGGUAUCGCGCUCUUGGAUGGGCUCAUGUCCUAUCAGCUUGUUGGUGAGGUAACGGCUCACCAAGGCUUCGACGGGUAGCUGGUCUGAGAGGACGAUCAGCCACACUGGCACUGCGACACGGGCCAGACUCCUACGGGAGGCAGCAGUAAGGAAUAUUGCGCAAUGGGCGAAAGCCUGACGCAGCGACGCCGCGUGAGGGAUGACGG